GACGAACGCUGGCGGCGUGCUUAACACAUGCAAGUCGAACGGUGAAGGGGUCUGCUUUUGUGGGCCCUGGAUGAGUGGCGAACGGGUGAGUAACACGUGAGUAACCUGCCCCCUUCUUCUGGAUAACCGCAUGAAAGUGUGGCUAAUACGGGAUAUUCUGGGUCUGUCGCAUGAUGGGUCUGGGAAAGAUUGCGCCUUUGGGUGUUUUUGGUGGGGGAUGGGCUCGCGGCCUAUCAGCUUGUUGGUGGGGUGAUGGCCUACCAAGGCGGUGACGGGUAGCCGGCCUGAGAGGGUGGACGGUCACACUGGGACUGAGACACGGCCCAGACUCCUACGGGAGGCAGCAGUGGGGAAUAUUGCACAAGGGGCGCAAGCCUGAUGCAGCGACGCCGCGUGAGGGAGGGAGGCCUUCGGGUUGUAAACCUCUUUCGCCAGUGAAGCAGGCCUGCUCCUUGUGGGUGGGUUGACGGUAGCUGGAUAAGAAGCGCCGGCUAACUACGUG
rnacentral:rRNA from 1 species